AUUGAACGCUGGCGGCAUGCCUUACACAUGCAAGUCGAACGGCAGCACGGGUGCUUGCACCUGGUGGCGAGUGGCGAACGGGUGAGUAAUACAUCGGAACAUGUCCUGUAGUGGGGGAUAGCCCGGCGAAAGCCGGAUUAAUACCGCAUACGAUCUACGGAUGAAAGCGGGGGACCUUCGGGCCUCGCGCUAUAGGGUUGGCCGAUGGCUGAUUAGCUAGUUGGUGGGGUAAAGGCCUACCAAGGCGACGAUCAGUAACUGGUCUGAGAGGACGACCAGCCACACUGAGACUGGGAAACGGCCCAGACUCCUACGGGAGGCAGCAGUGGGGAAUUUUGGACAAUGGGCGAAAGCCUGAUCCAGCAAUGCCGCGUGUGUGAAGAAGGCCUUCGGGUUGUAAAGCACUUUUGUCCGGAAAGAAAUCCUUGGCCCUAAUACGGUCGGGGGAUGACGGUACCGGAAGAAUAAGCACCGGCUAACUACGUG
rnacentral:rRNA from 1 species